UCACUAUUUUGUCGCUCGCUGCCUGCGUGUUUCUUUUAAUACCUUAUACUUACGGUUUGAAGGCUAAACCAUCGCAACAAGAUGCCGUAGAGCCAAUUUUGGUUGAUAAUUCAACAAUUGAUCAGAGUGAAACGUUCCCAUCAAAAGACCUCAGAGUCAAACAAACUAAAAUCUUAUUAUCUGUACGGGUAAAGUGUCCAGACAAGCAUGUAUAUUCCCAAGUAAUUAAAAAAUGUAUACCUGGAGCAAGAGCAACUAAAGUAGCGAAUGGAUAAUAGGUCAAUCAGCAACAAUAAUUAUCGUAACCACUAGGGGAUAAUGUCCUUGAUACGGGCAACGACGGACGGGCAGUCCUGCUGAUAGGACAAUACGGUAGAAGCGAGCGAAGCGCAACUACGCGAAAUCUUGGUGAGACGUUUAGGGAACUUGGUGGAACGUGAAAACCUUGUAGAAACGA